rfam:Aedes albopictus isolate Foshan contig28865, whole genome shotgun sequence.
UGCCCAGCAACUCCUAUCCCUACCUGUUCGUGGUACCGGCCGGAAACUAUGAGCUACCUUUGGGAAGAUCGGGUAACCAACCCCGGUGGAACUUUGGUCGUUGGCUGACAGGGAAGA